rnacentral:lncRNA from 1 species
ACUUCUUCUCUGGCCAUUUCCUUUUCUGCUGGCUGCUGCUCUAGUUUCUGCUGCAAUUUCUGAGAACACAACACACUAUCAAAUGAGUUACUUUGUUUUCAGUGAUAUAUGACGCUUGUUAUUAACACUGUUCAGACUUUAUAAACUGCAAUACUCAAACUAUAACAUAAAUACCUUCAAAUCACUCAAGUUGCAUCAAAUCACUCAAGUUGUUGUUCAUAGCUCGCCUCUCACUGCCUUCAUAAGCUCAUCAAGGGCACCUGUAAUAUGAAGAUCGUUAGAAAUGCGUCUCGGGAAACUCUCGUGGUUGUCGUCGACCACCUUUCGAUCGUCUGCUGGUACUG